rnacentral:tRNA from 1 species
CAAAGUGUAGCUUAAACAAAGCAUCUGGCUUACACCCAGAAGAUUUCAUAUAUCAAUGACCACUUUGA